UUUUGUAACUAGCAUAUAUUUAAUACUCCUAAUUAGUAUCCAAACAUCUGAUGUGACAUGUACUAAACUUUAGCAGAUGGUAUCCAAGCAUCCCCUCAUCGUUAACCAGCCUAAGAACCUGCAAAGAUGGUAGGAUUGGAUUCUCUAACACGCAUCUGCUCCUUUUCUUCCAUAAGUUCCGAUCCGUGUACAUGAUCAUCAGCAGCUGUUGUCCUCCGCUGGUGUGCCCAGAGCC
rnacentral:lncRNA from 1 species